rnacentral:rRNA from 1 species
UACGGGGGGAGCAAGCGUUGUUCGGAUUUACUGGGCGUAAAGGGCGCGUAGGCGGCGCCGCAAGUCGACUGUGAAAUCUCCGGGCUUAACCCGGAAAGGUCAGCCGAUACUGCGGGGCUAGAGUGCAGAAGGGGCAACUGGAAUUCUCGGUGUAGCGGUGAAAUGCGUAGAUAUCGAGAGGAACACCUGCGGCGAAGGCGGGUUGCUGGGCUGACACUGACGCUGAUGCGCAAAAGCUAGGGGAGCGAACGGG